rnacentral:lncRNA from 1 species
GGCCCGGGGGCAGCCGGAGGCCUCCGCACGGCCGCAGGAUUCUAAAGUUCACUUGCUGCGGACUCCUUCGCACCAGAGUGUCUUUUUUAUGAGCCAGAAGACAGAGACCUGGGGACCUCCCUGAUCAGCCACGAAGGUUUGGAAGAGGUUUAGUUUGUAUUAGUUUGCAUUAUGAAAACAAUAGGUAAAAAUUGUUUAUUCUCCAAAUCUAGGAUUCUUCUGCGAAAUCUGAGUGUUGAACUUCCAGAAUCGGUCUCUGAGGAGCACCCAGAGUUUGGGGGCUGAGUCUGUGAAGGACCCACCCUGCCCUAGCACCCCCCGCUUCCCUCGGGCCAUUUAGCUUUUCACAGAGAAUAGUCAGUGGGGACCUUUCUGCUCACAGAUGCUGGCCUCAGAGACCAGGCGCUGGGCCAGAGGCUGGGAGAGAGAGCGCGAGCCUGGGAGGCUUGGUGCCCUUCCUGCGGGGGUGGGGGUGGGGGUGGGGGGCAGCACCAGCCCUGCAGGCCACCCCUCAAUGUUGGUGGCAGAGUGGGUCUGCUCAGGAAGGGACCCUCUUUCACCGGAGCACCUUCCUGGGGGGGCCUGGGAGAAACUGCCUUACAGAGCGCUCAUCCGUCCCUGACGCUUCCCACAUCGGUCCUGGAUGGCACCUGUUAAAAUCCCUCUGCGCUCCUUGGUAAACCGUCCCAACCCCCAAAUGGACACUUCCCAGCCCAGCCCCGAAAGGGUUAACAGCAGGUGCAGCAGGGGGGCUUUGGGACCCCGCCUCAGCCCGCUUCCCUUCCAUCGGUCAGUGGGGGAUGACAGCUGCCCCCAGCCCGAGCUUUUACCAAAGUAUUAGGUGGCCAGUUGGUGACCUAUCAGUGAACUUGGGAGAUUGCAUUCACCCUCAAAUUUUCCUUCUGUGGAGGCACCAAAUAUCUCUCCCAUGAUUUCAUUGUUUUGUAUGCAGCUUCGGCCUCCUCUCUGAUCCUGUUUUCAAACAUUCUUUACAUCUUCGUCUUUGCAGAUCUUGUGCCCUGGGCACGGGGCAGCCAGGGUGGUGUGGGAGGCAAGAUGCAGGGGAUGACGUAUGGGCCUGCCCAGCUGGACGACACAGACGCUGCUCGCGGGGGGGCGGGGGGAGGGCUUUGGGGGACCUGGGGCCGGAGGUUGGAGUCUCAGCAGGACAGAGGGGGCCCGCCUGGUCCUCAGCAUCCUGAUAGGAUCAGGUACUUCGGGAAAUGCAGAGCAGCUGUCACGCCCCUUUCCAAGGUUUGGUCGCAGUCCUCUGUGGGUGACUGUGUUGGAAGUGGCAGCUGGCCCUUGUCACCUUCUCACAUACACAUAUUCCAGAAGGAAAGCAGAGAGUCCCUGAGCUCAUCUCAGCUUGAGGUUUCCCGAACAGGACGACACAGAGCUGGUCCCAUCCACCUUGGAAGUAUUUCCCUUUGGAGCCAGGCAGAGCCCCGAGGUCGGUUCCGGCCCCAGAUGCACCUUUUUCGGAAGCCAGCUCAGAACGCCCCCGCCUCCCUUGGGUUUUUGGUGGAGAUGGGCCCUCUGAUGGGUUAGGGGGCUCAGCUCCUACAGGCUGCCUGGGACCCUUCCUAGGUGUGCAUUCCAGAACCCCUGCAUCCUAGCUGUGUGCCCUUGAGCCAACUGCCAAACUUCUCAGAGCCUCAGUUUUCUCAUCUGAAAUAAUGAAGAUAAUAAAAGUACUAACUUCAUAAGGUGGUUGCGAGGAUUAAGUGCAUAUAUAUAUUUUACAAGGUGAUUACUCAUUGGGUAUCAGCGGCUGCUUCCUCCCUUCUUCCCUCCCUCCCUUCCUUCCUUCCCCAAAUUCUCACUGGUCUUAUGAGCUCCAUGUAAUACAUUCGGCUGUGGGAGGAAUCCUAGAUAGUUGGCAGUAACUCAGGCACGAGAAGAGAAAGAGUGGCUGGCCAGUGCAGAAACCAUACUAGGUCUUUCAACUGUGAGCAUCUAAUAUAGGGCCCUGGUUACACAGAUGAUGGAGCUGCCGGACCAAGCAGAGGACGCGGUGUGAUUGGAAUCCAGAAGCCAGGUUCGGUACGGCAUGUGGGGCCAUGAAGGGAGGGGACCUUGGAGCCACAGAAGAACCACAGUUGCUGCUGGGGAGGUGGCAGGAAGCUGUUGGCGGGGGGAGGCAGGGACAGUGCUCUGGCUGCUCCCUUCCUCGUACCCCUCUGAUGUUCUGCCGGGGUAAGGGCACCCCAGAAGGAGAUUCCUUGCAGUACUGGGCAGGCCAGGAGAAGGGUGCGCAGGGAGCAAACUGGCAUUUGACCAGUGCAAGAACCAGGCCUUCUCUAACCCUGCUGCCAUGGUGACCCUGGGUGACAAAAACCUUUGUCACCAGGGUGGCUGCCCUUGUGGCCGCAGGUCCCAAUGUGCAGCAGCUUCAGUCAUUGUCCCUUCAAGCCUCUGCUUCCUAGGAACCCCGGGGGGAAAAAAGUGGCGUCAGCCGCAGGUGGGAACCGGGGAGGGGGGAAGAAAGAUUUCCCCUUUCCAGGUAAGAGGUGCAGAUUCUAAGCACAUGCCCACAUGAGGCCCUGCGUGGGGCUUCUCCACGGCAUCUCAGGAGCAUAAAUAGGAUUAUACUUCCGCGGGGCUCGUGGGAAAAUUCUAGAUGGACCACAGGCCUGCCUCAGAUCAGGCCUUCCUUAUUGGAAACCUUCCUUCUCGGAAAGGUCCUUGGGAAGUUGGGUUAAUUUGGAAAUUGGGCUUAAUUGGUUUGGCGCCCAAACCCAAACAACAAAACAGUGGCUCUUUCUCUGCUUGAAGCUCGUGCAUUUUCCUCAUUGGACAUCUUGUUUGGGUGCUGUACGUUUCCCGGUUUAUUGCUUUAGCGCAAUGGGAAGGUCCUGAGUGACUGGCGGCAUGUUAAUGUGAUGGUUGUCUUGGGAACGGGGCGGACGCCUGGCUGAAGCGAACUUCUUGUCCGCCAGGGUGGGAACAUGGCAGGGCCGAGUGAGCUCUCGUUACUAGGUUGAUCGAUCACGGAGGGUUUCACCUUCCCCAGACCUCAGGCAGAAUCGGCAUUGAUUGACAGAAGGGACAAGAGACAGACAUUUGGAACAAAAACAGGUGAUUAAAUUGCAGAGCCACUCUGGCGGAUCCCAGGCCCCAGCCCGCAGGACGCUGGCUCCUGGGACCUCCAGAUCAGGGAGGGCCACAGCAAAUGAUCCUUGGUGGGUUGAAGGAACCCGCUAGGAGAGAGAAGUUCACCCAGAAAAUGACUACAUAAACAACUUUCCAGGGGGCCUAUUUAAAAUGCUCAGGGGAAUAAAUUGUUUUAAAGCAUUUAAAAAACACCAUUUACAUACAAUUAAUAUGUUGAUUGCACAGCGUUCUUAUUAAUUCAUUAUAGCAAGGAUUUCCACGUAGCAAAACAGCUUGGCAGUGCUUGGCUUAGUUUGUGAUAUAGCAUGAGCUAGGAAAUUGCAUAUACAAGGGCUAUAUAUAACCACUAAAUAUAAUCACAUGCACGAACACGUAUAAAUGUCAAAAUAUGUAAAAUUUAGAGUCUUUGGUAAUUCAGAUCUCAUUUCUCAGCAUCCUUACCCUACCUUACACUAACCCACCUUCUGCCACACAGGGCGGAACGAAGGAGAUUUUCUUUUCCAUCCUUACAACCCCAGAGCCCCGGCUUGUUAUCACAGUAAAGGGCCGUGACCAAGAGCCGAAUCUGAUCACCGAGAUGGCCUGCGUGAGAAAUGUCGCUGCUGUGGUUGAACAGAAGCCCUGCUUUAACCGAGCAGGAGAGAGGCCCAUGCCAGAGGGACAACAGUGGCGUUUGGCGGGGAGCUCAAGCAGAUGAGUGGACGCGCAUGACAGAGGUCUGGGAACCUUUCAUUAGGCAUCCCCAGGAAAUGUGGUCUUGACCUUGACGCCCCUAGAGUAUAAUGACAUUGUUUUCGGUUUUUCCUGGCAGCGUAACUCACGACCCCGGACCUUGUUGGCCGGGAACAAAACGAAUUUGAUUAUUUUUCACAGUUGUCUGGGUUGACUAGGGCUCAGCGGGGUGGAUCUUCUGCUGGUCUUGCUGGUGGCUGGAGUCAGAUGGGUGGAACUGGAAGGUUUGUGAGGAUGGCCUUGCCCACAGGUCCCGCUCUUUGAGGGGGUGUGGCCGGGAGCUUGCAGCCUCUCUGUCCACGUGGCUAACGUGGGCUUCUUCCAGUGGUGGCUGGAUCCCAAGAGAACGGCGCGCCUGUGCUUAUCUGGCCUCCGCCUGCCUCCCUCUUGCUAAGAUCCCAUUGGCCAAAGCACGUCGCAUGACCAGGCACGGCAUCAGAGGGGGAGGCGAUUAGACCAGGAGUGAACACACAGGAGUGCAGCUUACGGGCAGCCACCACACACUGUCUGUCACAAGGACACUGCUGUUUCUGUCCUCUGAGAGGCUGUUAUUCUGUAUUCCCUGUGUGUUCCCCGCCCUUCCUCCCUCCAGCUCCCCGCUUUCCCAUCAGAGGCAGAUGUGGGGUGGGCAGAGGACCGCACGGUGGUCAGUGGUGAGGGCGGGGGUGUGACCAGCCCCCUCCCCGCCCCCUCCCCAGUCGGCCUCUCAGCAUCCUGGACCAGCGGUCCUUACUUCUGAACUUAUUCUCUGCCCUCCCCUUCCCCCCAGAAUAAGAAAGGUUAUACAAUAUACAGACUGAGCAGGCAGGAUAUAUAUUUUUUUAAGAUUCCAACUCAGAUGUUUUAAUAUUUCACUGAGCCACUGCAGAAAGCCCUUCAUUAUGGGAUGGAAAUGCUUGGAAAAUGGCCUUCUAAUUAAUGUGAAAUGAGAGAGUGCCCCUCCGAGCAAGGGAGACUUGGCAGCUGGGAGGGUGAUGUCAGCAGGCCAGCACUUCCUGGGCGGGGUGAUUGGAUGGGGCCCCAGCCCAGGAUAGAUUUGCCUCAUGGAGCCCAUUCAGCAUAAAUCCUGCCACGGGGCCAGGCUGGAGACAGCAAAUUGAGAACCUUCCACAGCUCACUGAGUUACCGCUUCCCAGAAAUUGCUGAAGCCAUUGAUCUCGAUCUUUUUACAUCAUUAAAUGAUUUUGCCAUUCGGGCACGCAGCGGGUCUGCAUUUGGUGACCUGCAGGCAGCGGGAGUGGGUUCAACAGAGGAUCCCCGGGCUCGGCUUUGGCUGGGCACAGGCUCAGUCACGUGGUCGCAUGACAGUGACCUUGACACCAGCAAGACUGCUUCUAAAUAAGACACAAAAUGGCUCACUCGGCCAGCCCUCCCUCUGUCCUCUGAGAGUCUCAGUAGAGCGGUGCAUUUCUGAGAGACCUUAAAAGCGGCUCGCACCCUGCCCUGGGAGCCCCCGGGAGACGGUUACUGGGCUGCGUACCUCUCUCUUCUGGGAUGUCUCCCUCGUUGGAUAAAGCAAUCGGCAGAGCUGUUAUGGAGCAAGGGGAAUUAAGAACCUGGCUUCUGGAAUUCCCGUUGUGGCUCAGCAGGUUAAGAGCCCAAUAUAGUGUUGGUGAAGAUGCGGGUUCGAUCCCUGGCCUCGCUCAGUGGGUUAAGGAUCCAGCGUUGCCGUGAGCCGUGGUGUAGGUCACAGACGAGGCUCAGAUCCAGUGUUACUGUGGCUGUGGUUUAGGCUGGCAGCCGCAGCUCUUAUUCAACCCCUAGCCUGGGAGCCUCCGUAUGUCAUGGGUGCUGCUGUAAAAAGAGAAAAAAAAAAAAAAAAAAAAAAAAAA